rnacentral:rRNA from 1 species
CUUUCUCCGCCGGCGACCGGCGCACGGGUGAGUAACACGUAUGCAACCUGCCCCUGUCAGGGGGACAACCCGUCCGAAAGGCGGGCUAAACCCGCGUACAUGCCACCGGGGCAUCCCGGAGGCAGGAAAGGCUUCGGCCGGACAGGGAUGGGCAUGCGGCGCAUUAGGCAGUAGGCGGGGUAACGGCCCACCUAACCGACGAUGCGUAGGGGUUCUGAGAGGAAGGUCCCCCACACUGGUACUGAGACACGGACCAGACUCCUACGGGAGGCAGCAG